AAACACCCAUGAGGCCUUGACCCACUCCCUCUGGUCCACCACCCACUCCCCGUCCCCUCACUCUCCGUCCCCUCCUUCUUCCUCUGCCUCAAUCCCUGCCGACGCAUCGCCGGGGACCCCAGCCACCACACCCUGCUAGCCCCUUCAUCCUACCUCUGCCGACCUGUCCCGACCCCCUCCAUUAUCAACCGCCGCCGCGCCGCCCAGACCCGAGCAGCGUCGCGCAACUACCUGUGCUCCUCCCCUGGCGCUACCCCAGCAAUCCCGUCAUGCUCCGGAUGAACGGCAGUGUCACCUUGCGCCGGAUUUGGGCCACCCCGUGCAGGAUCCGCACCGCCAGCAUCAGAUCCCGUGGGUUCUCUUCUCGUACAUGGCGGCCUCCCGCCCCCAGGCCAUGGAUCGCCUACAUGGCUAGCAGGGCCGGUUUGUUGGGGUGGUAGGAGCCCGUCGAUGGAGGGGAACCACGGCCGCCGACAUCGCCGGAACAGCUCCGCUUCUCGUACACCAAUGGAACUGGGGUUCAUUGGGAGAGGGGAUCCAAGGGGACUGGAGUGUUGUAUAGAGCAAUCUGAUUCGGCUGCAGAGCCUCUGUUCCUCCUCUAUCUCCUUCGAAGCAGGGGCGGAGGAGGGUGACGGUCGUUGUCGACGGUGUGCUUAUUCCGGCAAGCGGGAAGGGGGUUCUACAAUAGAAAUCAGUGAUUCAUUGGCCAUUCUGGCUGAAAUAUGGGGCACAUCAGCCUCCAGAACCAGCUGAGGUGCUAGAAUUUGACAUGGAGGGGAGGUGCUAAAACAGUAUGCAUGCAUGAUGCAUGUGGUCAUGUUCUUCGUCCACUAAAGUGUGGUACCAUACUAUCAAGUUGCAUAAUCAGUCCAGGGCUGAGUUGCUGGAUGGAGAAAUGAAACUUGUCUAGUUAUCUUAUUUGUUGUCUAAUUUGUUCAAACAAAGCAAACAGACUGAAAGGCCUGAAUUGUUGACAUGUCCUGCUAUGACCAUCAAAUAGUUUGCUGGUCCUUCUCUGCUUGUUAUGUAGAUUUACUUCUCUUUUUCUAUCCAGACUUCUCUUUUACUGUUU